rnacentral:rRNA from 1 species
UACGGAGGGUGCAAGCGUUAUCCGGAUUCACUGGGUUUAAAGGGUGCGUAGGAGGGCAGGUAAGUCAGUGGUGAAAUCCCCAAGCUUAACUUGGGAACUGUCAUUGAUACUAUCUGUCUUGAAUACCGUGGAGAUGAGCGGAAUAUGUCAUGUAGCGGUGAAAUGCUUAGAUAUGACAUAGAACACCAAUUGCGAAGGCAGCUCGUUACACGAAUAUUGACUCUGAGGCACGAAAGCGUGGGGAUCAAACAGG